AGUGGGAUAGCUGGGGCAAAUGGUGGUUUCAUUCCCAGUUUUUUCAAGGAAUCUCUAUACUGUUUUCUAUAUUGGUUGCACCAAUUUGCAGUCCCAAUAGCAAU
rnacentral:pre_miRNA from 1 species